rnacentral:rRNA from 1 species
UACCUCAGUAACGGCGAGUGAAGCGGUAACAGCUCAAAUUUGAAAUCUGGGUCUUUCAGGCUCCGAGUUGUAAUUUGUAGAAGAUGCUUUGGGUGCGGCCCCGGUCUAAGUUCCUUGGAACAGGACGUCAUAGAGGGUGAGAAUCCCGUAUGUGAUCGGUGGCUUGCGCCCGUGUAAAGCUCUUUCGACGAGUCGGGUUGUUUGGGAAUGCAGCUCUAAAUGGGUGGUAAAUUUCAUCUAAAGCUAAAUAUUGGCCAGAGACCGAUAGCGCACAAGUAGAGUGAUCGAAAGAUGAAAAGCACUUUGGAAAGAGAGUUAAACAGUACGUGAAAUUGUUGAAAGGGAAGCGCUUGCAACCAGACUUGCGCGGGGUUGAUCAUCCGGGGUUCUCCCCGGUGCACUCGGCCUCGCUCAGGCCAGCAUCGGUUUCGGUGGUUGGAUAAAGGCCUUGGGAAUGUGACUCCUCUCGGGGAGUGUUAUAGCCCUCGGUGCAAUGCAGCCUACCGGGACCGAGGACCGCGCUUCGGCUAGGAUGCUGGCGUAAUGGUUGUAAGCGACCCGUCUUGAAACACGGACCAAGGAGUCUAACAUCUAUGCGAGUGUUUGGGUGUCAAACCCAUACGCGUAAUGAAAGUGAACGGAGGUGAGAACCCUUAAGGGUGCAUCAUCGACCGAUCCUGAUGUCUUCGGAUGGAUUUGAGUAAGAGCAUAGCUGUUGGGACCCGAAAGAUGGUGAACUAUGCCUGAAUAGGGUGAAGCCAGAGGAAACUCUGGUGGAGGCUCGCAGCGGUUCUGACGUGCAAAUCGAUCGUCAAAUUUGGGUAUAGGGGCGAAAGACUAAUCGAACCAUCUAGUAGCUGGUU